rnacentral:rRNA from 1 species
GACGAACGCUGGCGGCAUGCCUAACACAUGCAAGUCGAGCGAGUUGAUUCCUUCGGGAUGAAGCUAGCGGCGGACGGGUGAGUAACACGUGGGCAACCUGCCUCAUAGAGGGGAAUAGCCUUCCGAAAGGAAGAUUAAUACUGCAUAAGAUUGUAGCUUCGCAUGAAGUAGCAAUUAAAGGAGCAAUCCGCUAUGAGAUGGGCCCACGGCGCAUUAGCUAGUUGGUGAGGUAACGGCUCACCAAGGCGACGAUGCGUAGCCGACCUGAGAGGGUGAUCGGCCACAUUGGGACUGAGACACGGCCCAGACUCCUACGGGAGGCAGCAGUGGGGAAUAUUGCACAAUGGGGGAAACCCUGAUGCAGCAAUGCCGCGUGAGUGAUGACGGCCUUCGGGUUGUAAAGCUCUGUCUUCGGGGACGAUAAUGACGGUACCCGAGGAGGAAGCCACGGCUAACUACGUGCCAGCCGCCGCGGUAA